UUAGACACCCUUUCCUGCCACUCCAUAGAUAAGUAACCCUAUAAUUCAUACGUGUUUUUAGGUCGAGGAUAUGCGUGAAGUGUCUCCCAGAAUAUGUAAUGGAGGAUCGACUAAGGGAAUUAUUUUCUGAAAAAGGAGAAAUCACUGAUGUCAAGCUUAUGCGUACCAAGAUGGUAAGAGUCGCCAAUUUGCUUUUAUUGGAUUUCGUGAAGACCAUCAAGCUCAGGAAGCUAUUCGAUAUUUCAACAAAAAUUAUCUUGGUGCAUCUAAAAUUACAUGCGAGGCCUGUUGUUUAUGUUAUUUUGUAUCAUUCUUUGAUUUCUUUCAUUUUUUUUCUUUAUACUAUUCUAUUAUAUAACAUGCUUUACUAUGUCUUCAUCAACCAUGUAGGUGGCUAAAAUUAUAGCUUGGCGAUACAAGUCUUCCUCGUCCAUGGAGUCGAUAUUCUAAAAAGAAAGACAAUAAAGUGACUACCCUAGAUGGAAACAAACAUGCUAGAGCUAAAGGACAAUAAGGAGAAAAUUCUAAGGACAUUGUUGAUAUUGAUGACCCACAACUUCAACAAUUUCUUCUGGUAAUGCAACCUAGGGCUAGGGUUAAAUUGUGGGUCAAUGGCACACCCAUUGCCUCAUCCAAUGUUUGCAACAAAGUUUCAUCAGAUGCAAUUCAUCCCAUCUUAGUUCAAAGUGGCUCACUGAUAGGAGGACUUUCAAACAAUCCUAAACACAACAAGUCACGUGAGCUUGAGCACGGUGAAGUGAUUUAUCAUUUAUGACAUGGAUUAUUUCAAGAGUAAAAUGACUAAGGAGUGAUUCGAUGUGCAUUGAUGACAAACAUAAUCAUGCAGUCAUGCUAUUGAACAUGAGAAAAUUGCAAUUGUGACCCUUUCAAAGGAACCUCAAGAAAUGGUGCUGAAGAGUUAGAUCUAGAGGAUCAAGAAGAUACUUGUGGAAAGGGUGUUGCCCAUGAUAAAGCUCAAGUGAAUCCAGAAGCUGAAAAAGUAGUUUCUGAGUCCUGUCGAUUGUUUGUCCAUAAUCUGCCCUACACAGCAACUACUAGUGAGGAAGAACUGCAACAACAUGUCGGUAGUGAGCUCUUGCCUGCCAGUUAGUUUGGUGGUGGUGCCUUAGAGGUUCAUGUGGUUGUCAAUAAAAGUACAAAACUAUCCAAAGGAAUAGCAUAUAUUCUUUUCUCAGGUCCAGAAAUUGCAAGAAGGGAUGCUCCAUUAUACUUGGAGUGGGCUCCAUUAUACUUGGAGUGGGCUCCUUCCAAUAUUCUUAGUCAAAGCUCAACAUUUAAAAAAAUGAAAAUGAAUAGUGGAAUUGGUGAAAAUGAUGUCAAACAGCUGAAAUUGGAGCAAAAUGUAUUAAGAAUAUCAUAUGUGGAUAUUGGUCCAGACAGAGUACAGGCUCGGACCCUGUUUGUCAAGAACCUAAAUUUCAAUACAACAGAUGAGAGUCUGAGGAAACAUUUUAGUGAAAACAUGAAAGAGGGAGCAAUUUUGAGUGUCAAGGUGAAGAAACAUUUGAAAAAUGGGAAAAAUGUUUCCAUGGGGUAUGGAUUUGUUGAGAUUUACAGGGUACUGCUUUGGAUGAGCAUGCUCUAAGGGUUAAAAUUUUGUCAAGUAAAAAGUGAGGGACAAGUACAAAAGACAAUUGAGAAGGGCAAGAGUUUGACAAAGUUGCAUGUAAAAGAUGUUGCUUUUGAGGCAACAGAGAAGAGUCUGAGAGAAUUGUUUAAACCAUUUGGCGAGAUUAAAAGCUGAAGGUUGCCGAAGAAGUUUGGAUGUCAUAGUCAUAGAGGCUUUGCUUUUGUAGAAUAUGUUACUCCGAAGGAGGCAGAAAAUGCUCUUUCAACACUUCAACAUACCCACAUAUUGGGCUGGCAUUUGAAAAUAGAGAGAACGAAUGUUGAUCCGAGUUUGGAUGAACAGCGGGCUCAAACAGCUGCUCAAUUUAGUAGACAUAUGAAUUUCAAAAUGCUACUAUGUUAUCCAAGAAAAGAAAGAACAUCAGUAUCUUAGAUGAAGGAAUAUGAAGUUUAAAAGGAAAGUUCAUUAGUAUGAGGCCAAAGAUUUAAGUGUCUGUGUCUGAAGUUCAGGGAUCACGAUUAUGUGUAAGAAAAUAGACAAGUGAUGCAAAAGUAAGUUGGAGGGAACAUACAUGUUGCACUCAUUGCUGGAGUCAGAAGGAGAUUGUGGAUAAUUCUUAGCAAGUGCCAUUCACACUGUUGAUUGGUUUUAGGAAUUAAAUUGAUUCUAUAAAUGAGAUUUUGUCUAAGAAGUAUUAAAAUAAUUAUUGAUUUGAUUAUUUUAUUUUUGUAUUUGUUUGAACAUUUCUUCAAAUUUAGUUA
rnacentral:lncRNA from 1 species